GUGCGUGCGGCAAGAACCUGCCACAACAUCGGACACUGUGUCAGGCAGAACCAAAGAGGUAGAACCAAAACGGUAGCCCAAACUGAAUGAUGGACUGGCGGCCCAGCAAAUUGAGAAUGUGCUAACACGAGAAAGAGGCUCCGUGUGUCCGUGUCCGUUUACGUGUGACGAGUGCUGCUGUGUGGCUCGGUGUGUUAAUGUGCGAGACAGUGUCCUGCGGCGGACUAGCAGGUUGCUUGCCCUCUGCUCCUCCAUACCAAGUGUUAAGUGUAUGACAAAAAAAAAAAAAUACGAUAAAGAAAGUAACAACAAAUAUCCUGCUACUGAUGUCGCUGAAAGUUUACCGAAAGGAUUAAAGCCUCGUACUUGACUAGGACUCCAGCACACACUUCUUGCUCCUUGCUUCUGUAGGAGGUAACUUGUCUAGUUUUAUUUGGUGUUUCUUCUGUUUGCUGUUUUUAUGAGCCCCGCUGCUGCCGUUCCCUGCCUUUGUUUCCCAUUUUUAAUGCGGCGCAGCAAAAUCGUGUUGGCCCUUUUGGUUCAGCUUUCAGCUUUCGGGUUACGGUCUUCAGGGAGCCAUAAAAUAAAUCAGCUAAAAUAUAGGUGCCCCUAAGGGCUGUACCCAGAUCUGCAAAGAGAGGAUGAUAACAUAUGCAGAAAAGGGGCAGACAGAUAAAAUGAGGACUCUCCAGGGUUUAAAACCGAAAAUUAGCUGCAUUUGACACAUUUAAUAAGCAAGAUUUGGAUCUAAAAUAUGCAUAAAAUAUAUUUAUAAUGUACAGAAAUUGAAAUUUAGGCCAUGACUCAUGUAAAAGAUGCAUUUAAAUAUGGAUUUUUGUUGCAAAAAGUUCAAUUUCUGUCCCAUAUCCCUCUCUGUCUGUCUCUCGUCUGUUGUCUCUCGUGUUUCUCUUUGUUGGUAAAGGUUUUAUUUAUGGUCCUUUCAGAUUGGCCCUAUGCCCACGGAUAAAUUUGGCCGAAACUUUUGGUUCCACUGUCCAGCACUGUGUUGGCAUUUUACGAGUAUGUGUGUCUGCCACACACAAUAAACAAUAAUAACAAAAAAGAGCUGUAAAAACGAACUGCCAGUUAACUUUCUUCACAUUUAUCAAGGUUUUUUCUGUGUUUCUUUAUGCGCCAGCCAUGAAAAAUCUAUGCGUAAUUGAGUUAUGAGCCACGGACCAAGGAGCAAUAACCAGGACUGGUUACUGCUUAAGCAGAAGGUUUCAGAGCCAAAGAGAUACUUAAAAGAGGUGGACAACUGGAGGGGAACAAAGCACAAGAAAUGUAAUUAAGGCUCCAUCAAAUAAGGAGAAAGACACCCGACAGACACUGAGUGCCAUAAAACAUGUACGCAAACAGAAAAUUAAGGCAUAAACUACAAUUGCUCAGAUUAUUGCACGUCGUCGUUGUUGUCGUCAUCGUCAGGAUUCCAUUUCUGUGUGAAAUGGUCCUUUUAAUGGUCCUUUUUACUUGCUUUAUAAUUUUGCAAUUGUGAUUGUCGUCACUGGCACUGGGUAAGGCACUGUAAUUUUCCUUUAUCGAACUGUCAUUUGUCCGUCGCUCUCCGUCUCACUCUGUGACUGCUUCUCCCCCUCUGGCUUUGUUUCUAUUUGAUUUGUGCUGCACUCGAGUGUUGCUCGCAGGCAAAUGGGGCGUAUACGCAAUAUAAAUAAUUGAUGCCUAAAUUGGAAAAUGACCUGCAAACAAAUAAAAUUCUAAUUAUAGCUAUUGUCAAAUGCAAAAAGGGCUAAAGAAAUGGGGUCAAUGGACUGUGGCAUAAAUGAAGAAAAACAGAGACAAAAUGCACACAUUUACGUUCGAUUUUUGAGAGUAGAAAUUUGAGUUUUCUUUGGUUAAACCUAACUUUAUGAAAACGUAUUCUAUUAAGGCUUUAUAGUCCACAAUUUCCGUUUAUGGCUUAAACUUUUUCUGUGACAUUUAACUUUAAUGAUUACUGACAAAGUCCAUUAUGAUUUCUGUCCGCAAACCUUAGCGCUCUAUGCUUUGAAUGUCACUUACUUUUUCCAUUAACUCUGGCCAUUUUUUUGCCAUUCUUUUUUUCCCAAUUCCCAUAAAGCCUAUUAUAGCAAAAUUAAAGCAAAAGGAAUCGAUGAGGAAAGACAAAAUUACCCCAAAAGCAAUUGCAAAAGCAAAAGGAGAGUCAAACCCCCAUCGGAAAAUUCAUAAUUUCUGGAGCUUAUGUUUAAAGUUUUUUCCAUAACAAAUUUUACAGUUUUGAUUCAAGUUUUCUCAAGUGCUGAAACUUUUUCUUUCUAAUAAUUAUUUUCAAAUUAGUUGCUCCAAAAUUUUGCAUAAAGAAAAUAAAUCUCUUUCAGGUACGAGUAGUAGCCUCAAGUCUAGGAGUCUCCUUCUUAUUAAUUUUCCGCUGCCACCAACGAAAGCCGCCAGAAAGUUUUGAAGCUUUUUUGCUUAUUGAUAAAGUGGAAAAAAAAAGAAAAGUUGCAGUCACCAGGAGGGGGCAUGAUGACAGGUGGGGUGCACUCCUCAUGCCAACAGGUUAUGAAAUAUGCCAGGGGAAGAAAAUGGUUAACGAAAUGAGCCCAGCUCAAAAUCCCCAACCCGUCCACAAUUCGCAAUGAAAUUCCAAGAAAAUGCCAGGGACUAGAAAAACAUUUCAUUAGGAUGCCUGUUGGGUGGUGGGGUGUGGAGUAGGGGCCAUGUCAUUGACGACAGCUGCUUUCAUGUCCUGUGACCUACUGACUCGCGUAGCCUACUUUCCGGGCGCCUACCGAGUCCUUACGGAGUACGAACGGAUACGGAAUAAUCCAGUACUCCUUGCGGAAGCUGCGCUUAAUGGCUGAAAUGUCCUUGCUGGAUGCCUGCCUGCAUUUUUUCGCGCUGACACAAUUAAGUGCAUGAAAAAUACUUGGAAAAUUUAAUUAAGUAACCCACUCCGCCCUUAAACCCUUGCUGCAAAGGAGUGCAGAUUCCCCCCAUUGUUGCAAAAGGAUUGCACAUUCUUCGCCGUAGUUCGUCUUCGUCUUUGUCUUGUCUUCUGGCUGACAUGAUCUCAUCGAUGUACCACAUGAGGGCUGAGGCAACUUGAUAAGAAUUUAUGAUGUAGGUCUUGAAUAGACAUACAUACACAUGUAGAUGUAGUCGGAAAUGGGAAAUGUGAUAUGAAAAGAUAGCACAUGACAAGCGGCAAUCAUAGCAGAGAUAGAGUGUAGGAAGGGGUUUCUUUUUGCUAGUGGUGUUUGCUUUAUAGAUUUUUGUUUUAAAAUUGGUAAACUUAAACCAAUAAAUGCAUCAAAAGUUGCCAGAAAUAUUAAACUUUUUUUUCAGUUCACUUUGGUAUAAUUCUAAAAAAAAUGGUACUUAUAAUCAUAUCUGUCUGUCCGUCUGUCCGUCUUGUUUGGCGGCCAGUUCUCAGAGAUUAUAAGAGCUAGAGGCACCGAAUUUUGCCUGUAGACGGCUGUAUGAUCACACUGAUACAAGGGGAGGGGUAGAUCUUAUAGAGCGUGUUGGCGUGAGAAAUGAUGUAGAUGUAAAUGAAAGUAAAGACAAAAUUUAAAAUGCCAAAUGUAAAAUUCGAAAAAAAAACAAAAAAAGCAAUAUACUGAUUGAGUACCGGGUAUGCGUCCCGUUUUAAGUUUUAAGUUUCAUUUGAUUUUGUAUUGCACCUUAGCAGGUACUUAAGUUUAGUGUUCGUUUAUUACGUGUAUUAUUUUUAUUUACAAAUUUUUAAACAAUAAAAUCAUUAAAAAUCCCUGGAAAUGUCCAAGCAAUAUUAUAGUCUACGCCUAAAAAUUGGCAUCUGUAAUUAUAAAUGUACUGGAUUAUUGAUUGCACUUUUACAGAUACUUUAAAAAUUAAAAUGUAAGCAAAAACUUGCUCCCCGCACAAAUAUUUACUUUAACUUAAUUUUUUGUGCGUCUAGUGACCGUCAAACGGGCACAAAAUUCCGUGAGGCACUUUGGUUUUGCAUUCAAGUUUUGUUUUCAUAACCCAUAAAAUUAGUUUUGCAUACAGAUUUAAAUUAAAGUAGAAAUAAAGGCACAGAAUGCAGGCGAAUGCACUUGUAAAAAAUGCGAAUAUCAAGAUACAAAUUUAGGCAAAAAUGAAAAAACAGGAAAAAUAGAAAUACUUCCUGGAUAAAUCUAUGAAAUUGUAUUAAAGAAUUCCUCACUCUGUUGUAAAUUCCCCCUGGUUUUCUGUUAGUGUAUGCAAACAAUUUAACAUCAUCAAAUACAGGGAGAUUCGACAUCAAAAUAAUCUCUGAUUUUACCACCUGAAGCAAACACACGUGGAUCCGAUGCAGAACAGAUUUUGAUGUUGUGGGUUUUUGGUUGGAUUUUUGGUUGGGUCUUUCGGGCUUAGAUUCAAACCCCAAAAAUGUAAUUUAAGUCUGUAAAACAUUUACUUUAUGGCAAAUAAAAUGUUCAGUGGGAAUGGGAGCACUGGGCAUGUGUUUGCCUUAACUUUGAGGGCAAACAUGUUUGUUUUUAAUUAAAGCUCCUGAAGGAACUGAGGAUCAAACAGGCAGGUGGACUGCAGACUGCUGGACUAACUAAGCAAGAAGCUUUUUGACUGCCGAAACUGCCAAAAUUGAGAUUUCCGUACAGAAUUUGCAACGAAAUGAAAUAAAACGAGAAGGGACGUGUGAGAUGCUUUUUACGCGUCACAACUUUUAUACCCGGCACUCAGUACUACAUCUGCACCUUAGCGGUGUUUUGUCAAAUUUUAAAUUUUUUCUUCAUCUGUCAUCUACAUCUACAACACUUCUCACACCAACACGCUCCGUUAGCUCGCCGCCCUUCCCUAGAACCACACACUGCAGACUCGAGGCAGAGGCAGAGGCACCGUCCGCACAAACAAAAAAAAAACAAAUAAAAGCUGCGGGACGGGGUGGGUUAAAAGUCGGAAGAGUCAUCGGCAGGGGGAGGGCAGAGGCAGGGGCCAAGUGAAGCAGAAGCAGAGUGUGAAUGAGAGAAUGUAGAAAAAACAAAAAAAGCUGCGGGACAGGGAAAUUAAUUUCUCCAUUGUGGCUAUAAUAAUGAUCCAAUCGGAUCCCAAUUUGGUGAUCAGAUACAAAUGGCCAUUCCCCACGAAAUGGCGUAUUUAGUUUUCUUUUAUCUUCUUGUUUGUUUGUCAUUUAUUUCUGCCUGCUUUUUUUGCCUGCAAGCAAACAAAAGUCACAAAUAGUUGCCUGGCUCAUUUACAACAUUCAGAGACUUGCCUUGCAAUCAGUUUUGAUAUUAUUUUUUCUUUUAUCUUCAAAACUGUAGAUUUGGGAGGUUUUCGCCCUUUUGCGGGGGCGGAAAGGGGCGUGGCUCAUUUUUGAAAUACACUGGUUUCAGUGUGAGCAUAUAGCAGUCUGGAUGCAAUUGGUGGCUGAAUUUGGUGGCUCUAGCUCUUAUAGUCUCUGAGAACUCUGAAAAACAAAACGGAAAGACGGACAGACGGACAUACAGACAUGGCUCUAUCGACUCGUCUAUUGAUGCUGAUCAAGAAUAUAUAUACUUUAUGGGGUCGGAAACGUCUCCUUAUGUGCGUUACAUACAACCGUUAUUCCCUACAAAUACAAUACAAAUAUACCCUUUACUCUUCGAGUACCGGGUAUAAUAAAAUGCAAUAAUUUUGUCUGACAUAUUUCUGUGUGCAAAACAACAUAAACCUACGCAACGACUAGCUAUAUUAAAAUCUCCUGAUAUUUAUGUGUUAAUGAAAAUGAAAAGAAAAUAGUUUUACAGAACCGUAGCCUCUACCAAUGCCAAAAUGGUGUUCCCACUGCCAUUGCCCUCAGUUCUGCACAUUUUCUGAAUAGCUCAAAUAUUUUUUUAUGUCAAAUAUAAAUCAUGAUAGGGUAAUGAAGUUCAAGGCGAACUUGGGGAUACCCUAUGCUGGAUAUAUUUUUACUGUGGUUAUUUUCGGAAAUUUGUCUUAGAUUUCAAAAGGUAUAAAGCCAUAAAGCCGCAAGCUUCUCUUUUGGGUUGAAAUUAAUGUAGUUUGCUCCGCGAAAAGUAAGCACUUAAAUAACUUAUAAAUACACACUCAAACAUUUAAAAAUUCAAAUUGCAUAUAUAGUAGAGACUGCUUCUGGCUGCUGCUACUUUCAGGGCCAUCCUGUUUUCCCCUGAAAAAAAGGAACAUCAGAUAUUUUCCGAAAUGAAAGUUGAGUGAUGCGAUGAUGUGUUUCUUUUCAAAAGAAAAAGAAAAAGUUUAAGUUCGAGUAGAAGUACCAGUACGAGCACUCCACAGAGUGAGAAAUCAAAAUGCGAAAUAUAAAUCAAAUUCCGUGCCGACAGCUGCAGCCGGAUAUUGAUAAUAAAUCUGAAGCCCGAAAUUUCACAUUUCUUAUACUUUUAGUGGUUGUUUUUUCGUUCCAUAAAGUGUUUAUUGAUGAGCGGUGACGGUGCCUGUUCUUCUCUCUCUCUCUUCCUCUCUGCAAUUGAAAUAUUUGUGUAAAUGGAUUUUUGAUUUAUAUUUGAGAAACGCUUCUUGCAGCGUUUUUGGAUUACUUUUUUUGUGAUUUUCAAGACAUUUUUUACAUUUUUUUACAUUCAAAUUUAACUAAAAUUUAAUGGAUUUUUAUUUUUUCCUAUUUCAAUUUUUUGGAAUAAUCAUUUCCAUAAUUUACUUUACGUGCAGCAAUUCUCCUCUCUGAGCUUUCCUUCCCUCCUUUCCUAAUUAUUUAUGCAUCUAUCAAACAUAUUUCAUUGUGGGGCGAAAUAAUAAAUGGCAUAAAUUACAAUUCAAUUUCUUAUGGUCUAUUAUUUAAUGCCUCGCGAUAAGAGGGAGGUACCACCACAACGCCCACCACACACACACACACAGAGGAUAUAUGGUUUGUGGAAGCCAUAAAGCUGAAGCUGCUGCCAAAUAGUAAUCAUAGAAAUAUAUAUUGUUCGGGAAGACUAAAAGCAAACGAGAGAAAGAGAGGAACAACAGACGCGUCGCUCUCUGAAUAAUCCUAUUCGGUGCAGUCCAACGAUUUCCUACGCCCCUCUUCGCACUGAGUCCUUUUGCUGUAUGUCCUGGUCUUGGCGUAUUCAUAAUUUGAUUUCUCAUGCUUUUGCCCUGGCUUUUCCUUGAGUUCUUCCCUUCCCACACCGCUACUUAGAGUCGCCCCAUUUGCUGAGACUCGCCUUUUGCCUUGGCCAAUGUUUUUGCGAUUAUGCUGUGGGUGUGUGUGUGUGUGUAUUCUUAAAGGAUACAAUACAGUUGGAGUUGGUCAGACAAACGAAUUAUGGAUUUCUCUGCUAUUAUCAUGGCCCAAUGCUUCUUUUUCUCUGGCUCUCGCCUCAUCCUGGAUUAUUGAGGCUUUCCUUUAUUGCCUUGGACAGGGCUGAAAAGGACAGCGCUAAAGGUUAUGUCGUUCGACGUGUUCUGGUUAACAGAUUCACUGGGAUUUUGCCUUUGUAUUUAUGGUUCCCAUUGGAGUUGCUCCUUAAAGGAAUGGUACUUCAUUUUCCAUAUAGCAGAGACACAUUUGUAUACUCCUUUAUUAUGGAUUUGCUGCUGUCAGUUUAUUUAUUGAAAAGUUUAGCAAAGAAACGCCCACAAAAUAAUUCGAAUCGAAGCUGACUUGCAGUCGCAUAAGUUUUGCUAGAAGAACUUAUCUUUCUACCAGAUAAAUUUUUGUAUAUUUAGAAGCAUCUCGAUGUUUGUGUAAAGUUUCUUUGCAACGUUGCUUGUUUGUUUGUCAUUUAUUUCUGCCUGCUUUUUUUUGCCUGCAAGCAAACAAAAGUCACAAAUAGUUGCCUGGCUCAUUUACAACAUUCAGAGACUUGCCUUGCAAUCAGUUUUGAUAUUAUUUUUGUGUGCUGUACUUUUUUUUGUCGCUGUCUGUUUCCGCUUUGGACAAUGGACCGAGGAAUGACCUUGUUCCUAGAGCGAACUCAGCUACCGCUCUGCCGCUCUCCCUCUCCCUCUGUUUCUGUGCAGCUGGAGUCCACUUCCUGGCCAUUGAUUUUCGUAGUCCUGCCGCCUGUUUGCAUCUCUAACUCGACUCGAAUUAUGGUUGGCUGGGGCUUUCCCCUUCUACUUUGACCCCAAAACUUUUAUUUUCUUUAGUUUUGUUUUGCAGCUGCAAAGUUUUGCUUUUCCACAGACACAAACAUCACCAGCAUUCGACAUUCAGCUACAGAUUCAGAUGGGAAUCACAUUAUCUUUCUGCUUUUCGUGUGGGUUUAAUCUGUGGGCCUUAUCAGUGGUGCUAAUGUGGCAUAAGAGUGACACAACACAGACGCAGAGCUCGCUCUUAAUGCAAUUAAAAACGUUCCAACAAAACUGUGGCACUUUUCUUGUACCUUUUUCCGAGGGCAGCUGAAACGGAUUUUAAAAGGAACAACUUUUGCGCCUGACUGUUUGUUUAACCUUCAGUUAAACCUUCGAAAAGUAAUGAAAAAUAAUACUGUUUUCUGUGGCCUGCAGGCUGCAUACAAAAUUGGAAUACAAAUUUAUUAUUCAGUUUUUGCACAAAAAUUUGCACAUGACACUGGCACUGGUACAGCCGAGGAGUGGCAGCCAGCCUUGUUGUACAACUGAUUGAUUUGAGGGGAGUCAUCGAGUCGACUUGGGUAUUCCAGUCCAUGUGGCAGGAACGCAGGCAGAAGGCAGAUGCCAGAAGUGCCACUAAAAGCCAGUUCAGGCAGUGAAGCUGUUAGACAGAGAGAGGCAGUUCAGUCACUAAGGCAAUAAGGCAGCAGUGGCACGAGUGGAGGUGAAGUGGAGGCCAACAAAGCCCCAAAGACAAAGCGCGAACCGAAAGCACUCAGCGAUGAAGAGGAGCAGGAGGAGAGCCACUGUCAAUCCAAUUGGUGCAGGAAUCUGAAGCGGCGGCAGCCACUUAAUGAAUGGGAAAACGAAAGAAAGUCUUUCUAAACGCCACACAGAUUGAUGACGCACUUGAUAAUGCCGCAGCUGGUUGACUCCUGCCACUAUGCCAAAGACUCCUGCCACUGACUCUGUUGCUCACUCUAAGUCGCCGUUUCGCAUGCCGUGUCGAGUGUCCUUUUUAUAUAGUCAGUCACUUGGUUGAAUCUGUAGAGUGGUCUUGUCGCUUCCUGCCUGCUGCUGCUGCCUUCUCUCCGACUUUUCUCUCUGCACUUAACCAACAUUUUGUCAUUUUGACAGCGAACAGAUGGCCCUGCCCUGUCCAAGCGGACUUGCUGCCGCAUGCCACCUACGCUAAAAUGCGGCCAAGUAAAAAAUUUGCAUACCCAGCAGAAAACUGCCACACAGAAAAAUAAAAGGAGCACACGACGUUGCAAGUAUCUUUUUUGGGCCAAAAAUUGUUACCACAAAACUGCCGCAAUGAUGAGACACCAAAAAUGUGCCCCCUCUGGUUUCCUUGUGGAGCUUAACUUUUACUUUUCUUCUUUUUCUCUGCUUCUUGUCCCCUUCUUUUUGUAUUUUAUUUGUAUUUUUCGUUUGCCCUUCGAAGUUCAUUGCUGCAGGAGGCAUUGGGCUUAUGUGGCGUAUACGUAAUUUCUGUCAGGAUUUCACUCAGGAUACGCUCUGCUGUGGUGCCUCUGCGCCACAUUCUGAUUUGUGACAAAGUAAAACGAUGACUCGCGCUUUAUCAUCAGAGGGUUUUCCUUUGAGGGUUUUUAGGAAGAUCUAAACAUGCUCCUUUAAAGCGAUAAAUUUAGCUAAUAAAUGGUGUUGCCAUGGAAGUGGAAUAUAAAAUACAAAGAAAUAUAUUUAAUAGACAUUUGGCGGCAUUUUGCUAUUUUAGAUCUAAGACGAGAAUUUUUUAUUAAAUUCCAUUUUUGUGUCCUACAAAAUUUGUAUAAAUUUCACAAAUUUCUGUCUCAAUUUUCAGCAAAUUACUUAAAUUUGGACUUUCACUUGGGUCAAUCACUACUGUCAAUCAAUUCGGCAUUUUGCGACACAAUUCGUCAUGUCAAAUUGAAUUUUUGGGCUACAAAUUGUGGCACUCGUGGGCGCGCUGUAGAGGUGUGACAGGGAAACAGGGCCUGGAAGGCUGGCCCACAAUUUGAUUGAAUUUGAUUGUUGUAGGCCUCAAACUGUUGCUGACAGCUUAACAGAGGUGGCAAAUUGUGCGACAGAAGCUACGGGGGUGAAGAUAUUCUUAAAGUGAAACCAGCAUUUGCUUAAGAGUUUCCGCAAAUACCAAAAGCAAUAUCUACACUCAGGAAUUCCUUUCGCAACAUACACAGACACACUGGCAACAAAAAAUAUCUAAUUAAAUUUGCCGUUUGUCAAAGGGAAAUAGUUUUGUUGCCGGACCAGGACUCGCUCGUCCUGUGUGAACUUGCUGGGAUUAUGGCUGGCAAAAUAUUUGCAUGAAUAAUGUGUUUCUGGGUGGAAGAUAUUCUUGCAUAUUAACCGAAUUUCUGCCUGCUGCUAGAGUCCUUGGAUAUUUAUUUCUGCUCCCCUCUCUCUCUCUCCUUUUCUAUUUACAGCAAUCAUAGGCCAAAGGUGGCGCUCAGGGCCAUACGAGAACGAAGGACUAUGCAAAGCUAAAACCAAAAACCCGAAACCCAAAAGCCGCCAAAUUGCAACUGAAGAAGCAACUUGCCACCGCCGACUGAGGAACGAAGCAGGGAAGGAC
rnacentral:lncRNA from 1 species